rnacentral:rRNA from 1 species
UACGUAGGGGGCGAGCGUUAUCCGGAAUUACUGGGCGUAAAGCGCACGCAGGCGGUUCGCCAAGUUUGGAGUGACAGUUGUCGGCUCAACCGACAAAGGACUUCAAAAACUGGUGAACUUGAGGACGAGAGAGGAACAUGGAACUCCAGGUGUAGCAGUGAAAUGCGUAGAUAUCAAGUGGAACACCAGUGGCGAAGGCGAGUCUCUGGACAUUUCCUGACGCUGAGGCACGAAAGCCAGGGGAGCAAACGGG